CCUGGUUACUGGAGCGACUUGGCACCACCCUUUCUCAUCCCGAACAAGGAAGUGAAACGAGUCAGCGCCGAUGAUACUGUUGUCUUCGGAUGAUGGUAAAGUAGGUCGUA
rnacentral:rRNA from 1 species